rnacentral:rRNA from 1 species
UACGGAGGGGGCUAGCGUUGUUCGGAAUUACUGGGCGUAAAGCGCGCGUAGGCGGACCUGCAAGUUGGGGGUGAAAGCCCGGGGCUCAACCUCGGAAUUGCCUUCAAUACUGGCUAUCUUGAGUACGGGAGAGGUGUGUGGAACUCCGAGUGUAGAGGUGAAAUUCGUAGAUAUUCGGAAGAACACCAGUGGCGAAGGCGACACACUGGCCCGUUACUGACGCUGAGGCGCGAAAGCGUGGGGAGCAAACAGG